UUCAACGUCCUUGGGGGACUAAUAAAGGACGAAAUCGUUUCUAAAAACUAAUUUUACUGCUCUCAAUAUAUUUGUGUGUGACUACCUUAACAUGCGGUGGUAAAGAGAAAGAGAACAGGCAUGCUAAUGUAAUAUGAUACGGAGGAUAUAUAGAUGAUUAUACUAUUUACAAACAUCAUCCCGGAGCACCCCUGUGAUUCCGGUAUGAUACGUACUGAACUACGUUUCCAACAACCAUAUACAAAUCAAGUAUAUAACAUCCCCGCCCCGAAAGAAAAAGAAAUUCAAAAAUUUCGUGAUGGUUGUUGGUAAACGUAGGUCAGAGAAUAUAAAACUAAAAUAAGACAACAAACAUUAUAGUCGACCAUAAUCAAAAUGAUAAUUAAAAAAAAUAUAUAUAAUUAUACAUGUAUAUGCAAGUUUCUCACUAAACUUCAACAUGUUCAAGCUAUCAAAUCUCUGACGCCGACUACCACACAAAUCUCUUACAAUGUAAUAUUUUCUCAUCACAGUUCUGGUCUUGCGCAUGAAACAUUCAAAUGAAUCAUAAUUUCAGUUAUGCAAUUGAGGAAUCAUAGUCUAUUUGAUAAGUCUAGCAGAGACCUGAAACUCUUAAUAUUUCAGAUAAUACAUUCAUAAAUAAUAUCAACUUUUACACACAGAUUUGGUUAACACUGGCACUCUCACUUACAAAAACAUACGAAAAUAUUAUAGGAAAAAUAAACAGGUUUUAUAUCUAGAACAUGCCAAUCAACCUCAUUUGACACAAAGUCUAUUCAUGAAACGACCAAUAACAACUAGUAAUAAUAAUACAGUGAUAAGAGAAAGGUGGCAGUCACACACAGUACAUUCAAAAAUCAUAAAUCUCAAUACAAAUUAACAAUCAAAUCAAAUAAAGUCUCAAUUAUGUCUACUGUUAUCAACGAUAACUGGUCCCUGGUACUGGACGAAUAUAAUAGCGAUGCAAUCAUCACUGAUUAACACAACAUCUGGAUUCAGCACGUUUGGCGAUGCAAUCAUCACCGAUUAUAAC
rnacentral:lncRNA from 1 species